rnacentral:rRNA from 1 species
AGAGUUUGAUCCUGGCUCAGAGCGAACGCUGGCGGCAGGCUUAACACAUGCAAGUCGAGCGCCCCGCAAGGGGAGCGGCGGACGGGUGAGUAACACGUGGGAACGUGCCUUCGGUUCGGGAUAACUCAGGGAAACUUGAGCUAACACCGGAUACGCCCUUCGGGGGAAAGGUUACGCCGAUGGAGCGGCCCGCGUCUGAUUAGCUAGUUGGUGGGGUAAUGGCCCACCAAGGCUACGAUCAGUAGCUGGUCUGAGAGGAUGAUCAGCCACACUGGGACUGAGACACGGCCCAGACUCCUACGGGAGGCAGCAGUGGGGAAUCUUGCGCAAUGGGGGAAACCCUGACGCAGCCAUGCCGCGUGAAUGAUGAAGGCCUUAGGAUUGUAAAAUUCUUUCAGCGGGGACGAUAAUGACGGUACCCGCAGAAGAAGCCCCGGCUACUUCGUGCCAGCAGCCGCGGUAAUACGAAGGGGGCUAGCGUUGCUCGGAUUUACUGGGCGUAAAGGGCGCGUAGGCGGAUGACCAAGUUGGGGGUGAAAUCCCGGGGCUUAACCUCGGAACUGCCUCCAAAACUGGUCGUCUUGAGUUUGGGAGAGGUGUGUGGAACUCCGAGUGUAGAGGUGAAAUUCGUAGAUAUUCGGAAGAACACCAGUGGCGAAGGCGACACACUGGCCCAAUACUGNNNCUGAGCCGAAAGCGUGGGGAGCAAACAGGAUUAGAUACCCUAGUAGUCC